rnacentral:rRNA from 1 species
AGAACGAACGCUGGCGGCGUGGAUAAGACAUGCAAGUCGAACGCGACUUAUUUUGUUAGCAAUAACAGAGUAAGUUGAGUGGCGAAAGGGUGCGUAACACGUGGGAAUUUACCAAGAAGUGGGGAAUAGCUCGACGAAAGUCGAAUUAAUACCGCAUAUGAUCGCAAGAUCAAAGCCGGGGACCGCAAGGCCUGGCGCUUUUUGAGAAGCCCGCGGCCCAUCAGCUAGUUGGCGGGGUAACGGCCCACCAAGGCUAUGACGGGUAGCUGGUCUGAGAGGACGACCAGCCACACUGGAACUGAGACACGGUCCAGACACCUACGGGUGGCAGCAGUCGAGAAUUUUUUCACAAUGGACGAAAGUCUGAUGGAGCGACGCCGCGUGGAGGAUGAAGGUUUCGGAUUGUAAACUCCUGUCACUGCAGAACAAGGAUGUGCCGGUUAAUAGCGGGUGCAUUU